ACUUCUUUUUCCCGCGAGAUCCAGGGAUGGAAAGCACGCUCUCUCUCUCUCUGGGAGCGAGGCUGGAUCCUCGAUGGCGCGGACGAUGGAAGAAGGACGCAGACUGCGGGCGUGGGUUGCCGCAGUUCAUCAUUCGGAAUUGCCAGCAGCAGCUCCCAUGACCCAUCCAUCAUCCUCCGCUGGACCAGAUUCUCCACUUGCCUACGGUGGUAGAAAUUUGGUAGAUUUGGCUGUUUCAGAGCGUAUUCAAAGACUGGUGCUGGUGGUGUACGUUUGAAGGAAGGGAAAUAUAAUAAUAAAAGCUUAAUGGCCAUUGGAAAUGUUAUUAACAGACUUAGUGAUAGUGGUGUUAGGAAAAGAGGACAUAUUCCUUACUGUGAUAGCAAGCUCACCGCAAUUCUUCAGCCUGCUCUUGGUGGCAAUGUAAAGACUUCCAUUCUCUGUAUUGUUGCAUCUGAAGAGGUUCAUGUUGAUGAAACAAGGGGGACUUUCCAGUUUGCUGGUAGAGCUAAGCGCAUCACAAAUUGUGUUCAAGUGAAUGAGGUACGCUCCUCUUAACACAAGUGAAUUGCUAGAAACAAUUGCAAGACAAAGGAUUGAUACAUUUGAAGCCAGUGUCACAAGAACUACAGUAAG